rnacentral:misc_RNA from 1 species
AAGAAACAGUCUUUGUCACCAAUGGCAUUGCAAGAACGAUAACUCUGAAUGCAUUGGCAUUGCACCUCUUCUGUAUUGACAAGUUUGAUAAACAUGUUUACUGAGCAUAAAGUCGACAGAUUACUUUUCAUCAUGCAUGUGUUUUCUGUCUAAGGUGUAAACGCUUGCAUGUAUUGAUUCACGUUUACACGAACGUAUGUACCACAUUAAAAUAUAUUUUU